rnacentral:rRNA from 1 species
UACGUAGGGGGCAAGCGUUAUCCGGAUUUACUGGGUGUAAAGGGAGCGUAGGCGGCGAUGCAAGUCAGAUGUGAAAGCCCGGGGCUCAACCUCGGGACUGCAUUUGAAACUGUAUUGCUUGAGUAUCGGAGAGGUGAGUGGAAUUCCUAGUGUAGCGGUGAAAUGCGUAGAUAUUAGGAAGAACACCGGUGGCGAAGGCGGCUCACUGGACGAUAACUGACGCUGAGGCUCGAAAGCGUGGGGAG